GAUGAACGCUGGCGGCGUGCUUAACACAUGCAAGUCGAACGAAGCACUUUAUUUGAUUUCCUUCGGGACUGAUUAUUUUGUGACUGAGUGGCGGACGGGUGAGUAACGCGUGGGUAACCUGCCUUGUACAGGGGGAUAACAGUUGGAAACGGCUGCUAAUACCGCAUAAGCGCACAGCAUCGCAUGAUGCAGUGUGAAAAACUCCGGUGGUAUAAGAUGGACCCGCGUUGGAUUAGCUAGUUGGUGAGGUAACGGCCCACCAAGGCGACGAUCCAUAGCCGACCUGAGAGGGUGACCGGCCACAUUGGGACUGAGACACGGCCCAAACUCCUACGGGAGGCAGCAGUGGGGAAUAUUGCACAAUGGGCGAAAGCCUGAUGCAGCGACGCCGCGUGAGCGAAGAAGUAUUUCGGUAUGUAAAACUCUAUCAGCAGGGAAGAUAAUGACGGUACCUGACGAAGAAGCACCGGCUAAAUACGUG
rnacentral:rRNA from 1 species